rnacentral:rRNA from 1 species
GACGAAGGGGGCUAGCGUUGUUCGGAAUUACUGGGCGUAAAGCGCGUGUAGGCGGUUGUUCAAGUCAGGUGUGAAAGCCUUGAGCUCAACUCAAGAAAUGCACUUGAUACUGGAUGACUAGAGGACCGGAGAGGAUAGUGGAAUUCCCAGUGUAGUGGUGAAAUACGUAGAGAUUGGGAAGAACACCAGUGGCGAAGGCAGCUCGCUGGGACGUUACUGACGCUGAGACGCGAAAGCGUGGGGAGCAAACAGG